rnacentral:tRNA from 1 species
GGAGAGGUGGCCGAGUAAGGCUUAAGGCGCUCGCCUGCUAAGCGAGUGAGUGGGGAAACUCACUUCGAGGGUUCGAAUCCCUCCCUCUCCGCCA